ensembl:snRNA U7 U7 small nuclear RNA
AAGUGUUACAGCUCUUUUAGAAUUUGUCUAGUGGGCUUUCUGGUUUUUAUGAGAAAGUCCUC